ensembl:lncRNA
GUUAGUAUAAAACAAGGGAAUAAAGUUAAACAAAGUUAAAUAUUAAAAAGUUAAAAAGAAAAAUAUUAAGCAUAAAGUGCACUAACGAACAAGUAACAGACAAGUGACAAAGUGACAAGUGACAAAGUGAUGAAUUGCAGUUAAAGUGACGUGUGCAGUGUGAAGGGGAGUGACCGGUGGAGUGUUAUAGUCAGUCAGUGGGGGACCGGCUCUGUUGAUGAGCCCGACUGCCGACGGGAAGAAACUCUAAACUAAACAAAAAAUUUAUGAAAUAAAUUCCCUUAAUUGUAAAUCAUAUUUUUUGACGUUGUCAUGGUGACGUGUCUGUUGUGUGUCUGCUGUUUGUUUGCGUGUCUGCUGUUUGUUUGCGUGUCUGUUGUUUGUUUGCGUGUCUGUUGUUUGUUUGCGUGUCUGUUGUUUGUCUGCGUGUCUGCUGUUUGUCUGCGUGUCUGUUGUGUGUCUGCUGUUUGUUUGCGUCUCGUUGUAUUUAAGUUACACAGCACGUGUGGCCCCUGUUGUUUGCGCGUCGCCAUGUGUCCGUCAUCUGAACGGCAGGUCACGUGAUCUGUAGCACCUGAAAAGACCGUGAAAGCAACACAGAUGGAAGAGCUCAAUUGUUUUUCAUUUUAAUAUAUUUACAAAAAAAUCACACAUAAAAAUGUUUAUUUAUUUAAUAAACAUGUAUUUGUAUUUUUACUGCUUAUUCUUAUAAUGAUAUAUGCAACAUGUGUGUUGUUCCCACUGUCCAGACGUUACAAACAAUGAAAUACAGAAUGAGCAGUGCUUUUACCACUGCGGACCACCGUGCCAGUAAUCAUCUAUCUCAUAACUUCUUAUAGUUAUAUAUGCAAUAUGUGUGUUAUUCUAAUUGUUUAGAUGUUACGAUGACAAAUGCAGCCGUUACGCAUAAUCAAACACAAAGAAAUGGUAGAAUAAGCAGCGCUUUUACCGUCCAUUCAUUGCGGACCACAAGCGAAACCCAUGUUGCACAUGCGCACUUAUUCUACAACACGUACGUCAAAAAGCACUGCUGUGCCUUUGCACGUAAAUAGGUUAUGCCAGUAAUCCACGUUACGAAUCAAACACGGACCAAUUAAAAUCGAGAUAUUACCGGACAUUUGCGCAGCUGACUCUCUGAAAUCCCUGCAAGCGUUGUCUUUCUUUCCCAGGUGUUGUGGAUCCAAAUACAUUUUCUGACGGCUACAAAACGUGCAGACUGGUGGAAAAUGCUCAAAUAGGAUGCACUGGAGUAGGGAAAAGAGGAGAACUCCGGGGGAUGAACAGCGGCCCCCCUCACCGGGUUUCUGCAGCCAGAUUGAAGUCACAGACUAAUCAUUUUUGGAGGAAAAGAAAACAUUAAAAAUAUUUGAUACAGUUGAGACACGAGUCGUUUCUUUGUUUUACAC